UGAGUACGAGAUGCUACGGCAUCGAAGCAGUCUAUGUCAUACUUCCGAGAAAAGCUUGCAAUGUCAUAAACAAAUAAUGCCUGUACCAUAACCGACACAGGUGGGUAGGUAGAGUAUACUAAGGGGCGCGAGAUAACUCUCUCUAAGGAACUCGGCAAAAUGACUCCGUAACUUCGGGAGAAGGAGUGCCUUAUUUUUAUAAGGUUGCAAUAACAAGAUCCAAGCAACUGUUUACCAAAAACACAGGUCUCCGCUAAGUCGUAAGACGAUGUAUGGGGGCUGACGCCUGCCCAGUGCCAGAAGGUUAAAGAAGUUGGUUAGCAUUAGCGAAGCUGAUAACUGAAGCCCUGGUGAACGGCGGCCGUAACUAUAACGGUCCUAAGGUAGCGAAAUUCCUUGUCGGGUAAGUUCCGACCCGCACGAAAGGCGUAAUGAUUUGGAUACUGUCUCGGAGAGGGGCUCGGUGAAAUAGACUUGUCUGUGAAGAUGCGGACUACCUGCACCUGGACAGAAAGACCCUAUGAAGCUUUACUGUAACUUGAGAUUGAAAUUGGACUUUAUCUGCGCAGUAUAGGUGGGAGACGUUGAAAAUAUUCUUGCGGGAAUAUUGGAGUCAUCAGUGAGAUACCACUCUUAUAAUGUUAGAUUUCUAACUUUGUAUCAUUAUCUGGUCAAAGAACAGUUUCAGGCGGGCAGUUUGACUGGGGCGGUCGCCUCCCAAACGGUAACGGAGGCGCACAAAGGUUUCCUCUGAACGUGUAGAAAUCGUAUCUAGAGUGUAAAGGCAUAAGGAAGCUUGACUGUGAGACCUACAAGUCGAGCAGGGACGAAAGUCGGUCUUAGUGAUCUGACGGUGCUGAGUGGAAAGGCCGUCACUCAACGGAUAAAAGUUACUCUAAGGAUAACAGGCUGAUCUCCCCCAAGAGUUCACAUCGACGGGGAGGUUUGGCACCUCGAUGUCGGCUCAUCGCAUCCUGGGGCGGUAGUACGUCCCAAGGGUUGGGCUGUUCGCCCAUGAAAGCGGUACGCGAGCUGGGUUCAGAACGUCGUGAGACAGUUCGGUCCAUAUCCGGUGUAGGCGUUAGAAUAUUGAGAGGAGCCUUCUUUAGUACGAGAGGACCGAGAAGGACAUACCUCUGGUGUACCAGUUAUCGUGCCAACGGUAAACGCUGGGUAGCCAUGUAUGGAGAGGAUAACCGCUGAAAGCAUCUAAGUGGGAAGCCCACCUCAAGAUAAGUAUUCUCAAAAGA
rnacentral:rRNA from 1 species